AUGAUUGGUCUGAUGAUGUUUUUUCAGACGGUGACGAGGUGACAACCUGGUUGAUAGCGGACAGAGACAGAGAGGCUCAGAUCGUGAACCGGCGUGGGGGCGGUCCUCGGGGGAAGCGGGUGGCGAACCGUUACUAUACCGACAAGAACGUCACCUGCCACAGCUGUAAGAGGACUGGACACCUCUCCAAGAGCUGCCCUACGCCCCCGGAGCCGUGUUGCUUGUUGUGCGGGGAGCGUGGUCACACGAUGCUGUCGUGUCCCAGCAAACAUUGCAGGAACUGCGGUCUGCCCGGUCACUUGGACGAGGUGUGUGUCGUACCCAGCCUCCGAUACAGAUGGUGUUAUCGCUGUGGCGUACAGGGACACCUUAACGACGCCUGCCCAGAGAUAUGGAGACAGUACCACAUCACGGUAAGACUGUGUGUGUGUGUGUGUGUGUGUGUGUGUGUGUGUGUGUGUGUGUGUGUGUGUGUGUGUGUGUGU